AGGGGGCCGUGGGGCAGUGCCCCCUGCUUUAAAUAGAAAGAAAUCCGCGCGUGGGCGAUGCCCAUGCGGCAAGUUUUUCCGAGUUAAAGCCUGCGGCCGGUGCGGAUUUGGGAGCAGGACUGGCGAGGUUCGCCCAACCUGCAGUUCAGUUCUGCAGUGAGACCGGAAAGUGAAAAUGGCUGGAAACAGGGGAAACAAGAAGCGAUUUAUUUUUUUCCCUCCAUCGCGGCUGAGCCCGAUGCAGGGCACGGAGGAGCAGCUUGCGCUGUGCCGGGGUUGGCGUCGCACCGAGCGGUGCUACCCCGCGUUAUCCCGGCACCUAAGGGCUGAACUCCUCCCGGCUGCAGCUCCCAUCCCAGGAGGACAUCUCCAGCGUGGAGCAUCCUGAGAGCACAGCCCUCGGGAAGGGCUUUCCUGAGAUUCGCCAUGUCCUGAAGAGUUCCCAGCAGGGAAGAAUAAAUACUCCUCCUUCCUCG